CAAUUGGUUAAUCUUUGUAAAUUAUGCAAUCCAGUUAGAUUGUGUUUUGUUUUCACUAAAGAUUGAAGGACUGUUUUUGAUGUUAUGCCAUUUUUAUUUUAUUAUCUAUGACAUGCAAACGCCUACCUACAUUGGAAUAAAUUACCGUGUUCAUUAUCUACCUUCGGAAUUACAUGCAAGCCGCUUGUCACUCAUAUAACUAGUUAUGUGGAAAAGAAAGGAGAAAAUCAGAAACAUCAUAAGAGUGGACGCCCUACUGAAACGAUCUAAGAAAGGGGAGCCGUGGCCGAAAUGACGCUCAAAAUAAAAUAAAUACACGACCAGAAAAACAUGAACCAUCCCUCCUCCCGCUACUGUAUCAAAACAGACGAAAACAGUGAACAUUGCAGUGUAGACGCAGGUCCUUUCCGCUGGCUGUUAUCUGUCUCCAGCAAUAACAUUGAAGAAUAAAAUAAUAUGCAAUAGAUGGUAUUGCGCUGUGCUGUCUCAAGAUGGACUUAAGAAGCAAAAAGGAAAGAGUCCAAGGGGCGGCCCACCCUCCCGCGGCCCAUCGGAACACAGAAUAAUAAUCGCCAAAAGAAACGAUGGGGAGGAAAAAUAUAAAUAGCCGUAUCUACCCCCUCGAGAUAUUAAAAUUUGUACAAGAAAUACUCGAGCCCGCUUUCAAUUUUACUUAAAUAAAAUUAUUUUCCGCCGCUCGGACGCUACCAAAGCGUUCGUGUUUCCCGACAUUGUUGCCGUAUUGAGACAAAUAACUUUAAUAACAAUAACUAACAUUAUCUAUUAAAUAAAAAGUCAUGAAUUUGUGAAACAAGUAUACUUGAGUCUACUUUUUAAUAUACAUAAGCUUAAAUUUAAAUUAAAUUCAAAGGCUUUUGUAAGUAAUAAUAUAAUAACAAAUAUAACUAUAACUUCUCUGAUGUUUAAAGACUGUUGCAUUCAAAAAAGACAUCUCUAAAGUCAAAACUUUACAACACUAUAUCAUAGACUUAUUGAAAACAGACAGGUUUAUAUCAAUUUCAAAACUCAAAAUAAAUUAAUUAACAAUGUAUGUGAGCCAUUUCUCCUUGUUCAAUGAAUAUGUAUUUAUAUUGUUUUAAUAACCUAAAUACGAUUGAUCUACUCAUUUUUAGGUUAUCCGUCAAUGUUAAAUAGACAACCAAUUCAAUUUAAAAGAUAUAAAUCCGCUCUAUUAGAACAUGGUUCUAAAAGUAGUGUUGUUUCAUUUAUGUUUUUGUAAGGCCCUGUCCCACAAAAUAGCAAAUUGCCUGAUAACAAUCCAACGUGUAAAAUAUGUGAUGGAAAUAUCGGAUUUUCUUACUUUCUCUGACUGUGACGUCAUUUUUAAGCUAUCUGAGCGUCUAUCAGCCAGUGGUGGGACAGGCCCUAUUUUUUUUAGGUUAAUCAGGGUCACUGAUCACUUGUAUAAUUGGUUUAUAAAACCCGUGUUUAAUAUUGUACGUUUUUCUUUAGUGUACGCAACAUUUUUGUAAUUUUUUUUAUUUUAUUUAUGUGUCGCUCCUAAUUAUUUAAUUAUCUGGGUAAUAACUAGUAAAUGCGUUGAGAUCGAAGUUCGAUUACACCCAUAACUCAAAGUGAUCCCAACGGCCGCGGCUUGUGAAAGUGAAGUGAAAAUUCUUGUCCCGAGGCGUAACUUAAAAUCGCUAAACUUCUCACUUCGAAUAACUUAAAUCGCGGUAAGUUCGGUUAAGUAGAGCGUAGAGUACGCAGACAAAUUUUUAUUUUAUGUAAUCGAUAGAACAAAUUAUCCUUUUGUAAAUUGUUUUGCUUCUUAAGGUGUAUUUUUGUCUAAUUUUUUGUAAUUAUUAGAAGUAGUAUAACAAAAACAAACAACUUCGUCGAAUUUAGAAUUUUAUAAAUUACAUUUUUUCAACAACUUAUUUAAUUAAAGAACAUAUUCUUCACACAAGAGUUUUCACGUAUCUGAAGCUUGUAAAAGAUAAAAGACUUAUGAAAAUCUAUACUGGGUCAUGUUUUGCGAACUUUACUUUGUUGACAUAAAAAAAUCUGUUGACAACGUGUAUCUGUCAAACGUUUUCUUACAUGUUCAAAAAAGAUGUUUGUGAGAUUGUUGGAUUUUGUCAUUUUUAUAUUUUUGUUUACGUUAAAAACUAUAUUGAACAACUGACCAGCAUCUUAACUUUCGUAAUGAAUUUUGUAGACGUAUUUGGAAAUUUAAAAAACUUAAUUCGUAAAAACAUCGGACCCCGAAUCAGAUCUUUAAAAAUCAACCAAUGACACCGUUAGGGUGGGAAAGGGGCGCAGUCUUGAGGGGGGGUUCAUUUUUGCCAAUACUUAAACGAAGAUAGAUAGCGCCCACCCCUCACCCCGCACCAGUCGGGGUGUUUUAAGAAAAUUUUAACUUUUCUUUAUUCAAAGAGCGCGCCCGCCCGGGGAGGCGCACCCACCCACCUUUCUCAUUUUUCUUUUGCUAUUCUCUUUGGCCACUUUCAAAGGAAAAUAACAGUGUGCUCUCUUAAGCGUUUAUUAAAUUCUUAGUGAAUAUCUAAAAAAGCCCGCGCCGUCUCGAAUUUAUUACGAUUCCGAGAAUUCAAAAGCCCAGUUUUGUUUCCAUUUUCAUCUUGAAUUACGUUUAAAUCGUUGCUUUUAUAUUUCCUUUUACUUUGAGCGGUUCAGAGCAUUUUGUGUACAAAUAGAAACUUUAAAGCGUACCUUAGCAAUCUUUUGCUACAUAAUUUUGUAUAUGAUAUGUCACGUGUCGAUUCUGAAAUUCGUCGAAUAUACAAACUGUAUAAAUCUUAGCGCAAACUUAAAGGACUACACUUAACAUUGAGCAAUUAUAGUUUAAUAUUUGGGAAAAAUGUUAUUACCAUCUUUUCCAAGUUUUAAAAAUGUAGAUCUUUGUGAAUUUUUUACUUUUAAUAAAAAUUGAGAGUGAUUUUUCAUUUCUAAGCAAGAAAAAAUUCCUUUGUAAGAUAAAUUCAACAAAUCCUCAGAUUUAAAUCUUCAAUUUACAAGAUUAUGUAAUUUAAAACAACGCCAUCUCCUGUCAUUGUUGACAACAUUGAAAUUAUAAAAAUCAAUUUCCUGUUUCACAACCUAGAUGGCACUAAAACAGAAACGCGAUCAGCUUAAUUUAUAUUAGAAAACUGCAUCAAUGAUGUUCUACGGCUCUUAUAUAAUGAGUUUGCUUCGUUUCAACUAUUUUUAGAUCUGUUUUUAGCAUUUUUUGUAUGUAAAUUUGGCUUUGAAAAUAAAACAUCCAACAUUGA